CCAGCCUUCUGAAAGGAAGAUUAAUCCAGGAUGGCAUCAUGAGUUCACAUGUCCGCAUGAUUAAAGGUAUUUUCCGGUAGACGAUGGGGAUGCGUUCCAUUAGAUAGUAGGCGGGGUAACGGCCCACCUAGUCAACGAUGGAUAGGGGUUCUGAGAGGAAGGUCCCCCACAUUGGAACUGAGACACGGUCCAAACUCCUACGGGAGGCAGCAGUGAGGAAUAUUGGUCAAUGGGCGAUGGCCUGAACCAGCCAAGUAGCGUGAAGGAUGACUGCCCUAUGGGUUGUAAACUUCUUUUAUAAAGGAAUAAAGUCGGGUAUGCAUACCCGUUUGCAUGUACUUUAUGAAUAAGGAUCGGCUAACUCCGUGCCAGCAGCCGCGGUAAUACGGAGGAUCCGAGCGUUAUCCGGAUUUAUUGGGUUUAAAGGGAGCGUAGAUGGAUGUUUAAGUCAGUUGUGAAAGUUUGCGGCUCAACCGUAAAAUUGCAGUUGAUACUGGAUGUCUUGAGUGCAGUUGAGGCAGGCGGAAUUCGUGGUGUAGCGGUGAAAUGCUUAGAUAUCACGAAGAACUCCGAUUGCGAAGGCAGCCUGCUAAGCCGCAACUGACAUUGAGGCUCGAAAGUGUGGGUAUCAAACAGGAUUAGAUACCCUGGUAGUCCACACGGUAAAC
rnacentral:rRNA from 1 species